UACCCCAUAGACACCCCAUAGAUCUGCCCCAUAGAUAUCCCAUAGACACCCCAUAGACACCCCAUAGAUCUGCCCCAUAGAUACCCCAUAGACACCCCAUAGAUCUGCCCCAUAGAUAUCCCAUAGACACCCCAUAGAUCUGCCCCAUAGAUCUGCCCCAUAACUGCCCCAUAGAUACCCCAUAGAUAUCCCAUAGACACCCCAUAGAUCCGCCCCAUAGAUCUGCCCCAUAACUGCCCCAUAGAUACCUCAUAGAUAUCCCAUAGACACCCCAUAGACACCCCAUAGACACCCCAUAGAUCUGCCCCAUAUAUCUGCCCCAUAACUGCCCCAUAGAUACCCCAUAGAUAUCCCAUACACACCCCAUAGAUCCGCCCCAUAGAUCGGACCCAUAGAUCUGCCCCAUAACUGCCCCAUAGAUACCCCAUAGAUAUCCCAUAGACACCCCAUAGAUCCGCCCCAUAGAUCUGCCCCAUAGACACCACAUAGAUCUGCCCCAUAGAUAUCCCAUAGACACCCCAUAGACACCCCAUAGAUCUGCCCCAUAGAUCUGCCCCAUAGAUAUCCCAUAGACAGCCCAUAGACACCCCAUAGAUCUGCCCCAUAGAUACCCCAUAGAUACCCCAUAGACACCCCAUAGAUCUGCCCCAUAGUUCCGCCCCAUAGAUACCCCAUAGAAACCCCAUAGCUCACAGCUGCCCCAUAGAUACCCCACAGCUGCCCCAUAGAUACCCCAUAGAUCUGCCCCAUAGAUCUGCCCCAUAACUGCCCCAUAGAUACCCCAUAGAUAUCCCAUAGACACCCCAUAGAUCCGCCCCAUAGAUCUGCCCCAUAACUGCCCCAUAGAUACCUCAUAGAUAUCCCAUAGACACCCCAUAGACACCCCAUAGACACCCCAUAGAUCUGCCCCAUAUAUCUGCCCCAUAACUGCCCCAUAGAUACCCCAUAGAUAUCCCAUACACACCCCAUAGAUCCGCCCCAUAGAUCGGACCCAUAGAUCUGCCCCAUAACUGCCCCAUAGAUACCCCAUAGAUAUCCCAUAGACACCCCAUAGAUCCGCCCCAUAGAUCUGCCCCAUAGACACCACAUAGAUCUGCCCCAUAGAUAUCCCAUAGACACCCCAUAGACACCCCAUAGAUCUGCCCCAUAGAUCUGCCCCAUAGAUAUCCCAUAGACAGCCCAUAGACACCCCAUAGAUCUGCCCCAUAGAUACCCCAUAGAUACCCCAUAGACACCCCAUAGAUCUGCCCCAUAGUUCCGCCCCAUAGAUACCCCAUAGAAACCCCAUAGCUCACAGCUGCCCCAUAGAUACCCCACAGCUGCCCCAUAGAUACCCCAUAGGUACCCCACAGACACCCCACAGCUGCCCCAUAGACACCCUACGGCUCUGCCCCACAUCCGCCCCACAGCUGCCCCAUAGGUACCCCAUAGACACCCCACAGCUGCCCCACAGCUGUCCCAUAGAUACCCCACAGCUGCCCCACAGCUGCCCCAUAGGUACCCCACAGCUGCCCCAUAGGUACCCCAUAUACACCCCACAGCUGCCCCAUAGAUACCCCAUGGACACCCAAUAGAUCUGCCCCACAGGUACCCCACAGGUACCCCACAGGUACCCCAUAGAUACCCCAUAGGUACCCCACAGCUCUGCCCCACAGCCGCCCAUAGGUACCCCAUAGAUACCCCAUAGGUACCCCAUAGAUACCCCAUAGGUACCCCACGGCUCUGCCCCACAUCCGCCCCACAUCCGCCCCAUAGACACCCCACAGCUCUGCCCCAUAGACACCCCACGGCUCUGCCCCACAGCUGCCCCAUAGGUACCCCAUAGACACCCCACAGCUGCCCCACAGCUGCCCCAUAGAUACCCCACAGCUGCCCCACAGCUGCCCCAUAGGUACCCUAUAGAUACCCCAUAGACACCCCACAGCUCUGCCCCACAUCCGCCCCACAUCCGCCCCAUAGACACCCCACAGCUCUGCCCCACAGCUGCCCCAUGGACACCCCACAGCUGCCCCAUAAGUACCCCAUAGACACCCCACAGCUCUGCCCCAC
ensembl:lncRNA